ensembl:snRNA U6 U6 spliceosomal RNA
GUGCUUGCUUUGGCAGCACAUAUGCGAAAAUUGGAAUUUUAUAGAGAAGGUUAGCAUGGCCCCUGUGCAAAGAUGACACACAAAUUUGUGAAGUGUUCAAUAUUUUU